rnacentral:miRNA from 1 species
ACUUGACUGCAGGCACUGCUGCU